AUCUCUAGCCAAUGUGGGACUUCUAACAGUUACUACUAUGUUUUUUUAUAUAUAUAUAUAUAUAUGUAUUUGUUCAUAGAAUGGUUUUUAUUCAGUGGAUGACCUUUAUUUUGCAAGAAUAAUUUGUUGCAUAGAGUCAAUCUUGAAUUGGCUUUGGAUUUUUUUUUAAGUGUUCAAUAAUGAGGCAAGUUUUACACAAUCAUGUCAGAGUAAAAUUGUUUCUUAACAAAUUAGGGUAAUGGUAAUUAUCUUAUGUGCUUCUUUGGUUUGCCAUUAGAUUGUUGGGAUGUGAAGAGAAUUUGCAAUUCGUUUGGUUUUUUAUUUGAUUCUUUUCUUCCACUGAUAAUUUUAUCAUUAUCCUAAGAUUCUUUUUAGAAAUUAUGUGUAGGAGUAAUUUUGAUUAGCUU
rnacentral:lncRNA from 1 species